rnacentral:rRNA from 1 species
GACGAACGCUGGCGGCGUGCUUAACACAUGCAAGUCGAACGAUGAACUUGGAGCUUGCUCUGGGGGAUUAGUGGCGAACGGGUGAGUAACACGUGAGUAACCUGCCCUGGACUCUGGGAUAACUUCGAGAAAUCGGAGCUAAUACCGGAUAGGACCUUGCACCGCAUGGUGUGGGGUGGAAAGUUUUUCGGUUUGGGAUGGACUCGCGGCCUAUCAGCUUGUUGGUGAGGUAAUGGCUCACCACGGCGUCGACGGGUAGCCGGCCUGAGAGGGUGACCGGCCACACUGGGACUGAGACACGGCCCAAACUCCUACGGGAGGCAGCAGUGGGGAAUAUUGGACAAUGGGCGCAAGCCUGAUGCAGCAACGCCGCGUGCGGGAUGACGGCCUUCGGGUUGUAAACCGCUUUUAGUAGGGAAGAAGCCUUCGGGUGACGGUACCUGCAGAAAAAGGACCGGCUAACUACGUGCCAGCCGCCGCCGUAAUAC